AUGGGUACAACGGAAGUAGAGUAUUCCUUGCUGAUGAAACAAAAAGCAUUUGCAAGAACUUUUCAAACUUCAACCUUGCAGGUGUAUGAUUAUGACUGUAUUUAUGAACCUGUUACCUCUUCUGAAUUUUUUAUUUAUGUAUAUUCUGAUGUGAACCAAGGAUCCAGUGCAGAAGUCAUCUAGACCCAGUCUCCAACCUCCAUAGCAGUUUCCCAAGGAGAGACAGUCACCGUCACCUGAAGGGCCAGCUCAAGUGUAAGCAGCAGAUUCUUGUACUGGUACCAACAGAAGCCGGGUGCCCCACCAAAGCUCCUUGUUUAUAGUACAUCAAACCUGGCCUCCGGGGUCCCCGCUUACUUCAGGAGCAGUGAGUCUGGAGCCUCUUACUCUCUGACGAUCAGCAGUGUGGAGGCUGAAGAUGCUGCAGACUAUUACUGUCAGCAGUGCAGCAGCUCUCCACCCACAGCAUCACAGACUGGAUCAAAACCCCCAUGA